ensembl:lncRNA
UUACAAAUACAAAUGAUUCUGUACGGUUGAUUUUAUGAUUACAUGUAAUUGUUUAUACGAUUCAUUCUUUAUGACUGAUUCCAUUUGAUUGAUUUUAUAUAAAUGAUUCUGUGGGAUUGAUUCCACUUGACUGAUUCGAACUGAUUCUCUAUGACUGAUUCCAUGGAUCUGACUCUCUGUCUUUGAACAGAUUCAAAUGAAUUCUCUUAAUGGAACUGAUACAAUGAGACUGAUUCAAGUUGAUUCUCUAUGACUCAUUCUAUAGGAUUGAUUCUAGUUGAUUCAGUCAGAUUCAUUAUUUUAUUCUAUAGAAAUGAUUCACGUUUAUUCUUUAUCAUUGAUUUUAUGUGAUUGAAUGCAUGUAUACAUUAUUCUGUGGGCUUGAUUUCAUGCAACUGAAUCUAUAGGUUUGAUUCUGUGUAACUGAUUCAGGGUGGUUUAAAUCACCAGAUUGUGUGUUUGAUUCUGUGUGAUUGAUUCAGUGGGUUUGAUUCUGAUUGUGAUCAUGUGUGAUUCUGAAGGACUGAUUUUGUGUUUGGUAUUAAAUUAUUGGUUCUAUAUGAAUGAUUCUGUGGGACUGAUUCCAUAUGACUGAUUCAAAAUGCUUAAACCUGUAGGUUUAAUUCUCAAGGAUUGAUUUUGUGUGAUUUGAAUUUAUGUAUUUGAUUCUAAGCAAUUAGCUUUAGAAUGAUUCUGUGGGAUUAAUUCAAAUUCAGUUGAUUCUGUGUGUCUGAAUCUGUGUGAUCUCUCUAUAGGGGAGGUCUUGCCGAAAGGCUGAACCAACUCCACAGCAGGCAAAGAUCAGCCAUCAGCUUCUGGAGACAUCAGUGCAGCUCAACCACCUCAGCUGGUCGGUGAGUUGAGCAGACGAGGAGUUAGGAAGUCUCAGCUGGACGCAGUGGAGGAUUGUGGGUUGUUGGGCUCUCAGAGCAGUCCUGUUGAGGUGGUCAUUCAGAGGGUGUGCUGCAUACCCAUCACCCAGACCCUUCACAGAGCUUCACUCCAGCACAGAGCACUGGACAGACCUCCGUCAGAAUCAGCACCACCGCAACACAUCGGCAGAAUCCGAGAUCCAGCAGAGCUUUGAGCAGCUGGAGGGCCGUGUGUGUCUCCUCCAGGCCCUGAGAGUCACCCAGCAUCUCACACACGGCAAAUGUUCUCUGCUCUUCAGUAUGAUUGACAGUUUGUGGCGUCCUUCGGUUGAUCCAAAAUCUCAUGACGAUCUGCUGCAGUCUCCCAGCGUAGGUCUUCAGAUCACAUCCUGA